GGUUAAGCGACUAAGCGUACACGGUGGAUGCCCUGGCAGUCAGAGGCGAUGAAGGACGUGCUAAUCUGCGAUAAGCGUCGGUAAGGUGAUAUGAACCGUUAUAACCGGCGAUUUCCGAAUGGGGAAACCCAGUGUGAUUCGUCACACUAUCAUUAACUGAAUCCAUAGGUUAAUGAGGCGAACCGGGGGAACUGAAACAUCUAAGUACCCCGAGGAAAAGAAAUCAACCGAGAUUCCCCCAGUAGCGGCGAGCGAACGGGGAGCAGCCCAGAGCCUGAAUCAGUGUGUGUGUUAGUGGAAGCGUCUGGAAAGGCGCGCGAUACAGGGUGACAGCCCCGUACACAAAAAUGCACAUACUGUGAGCUCGAUGAGUAGGGCGGGACACGUGGUAUCCUGUCUGAAUAUGGGGGGACCAUCCUCCAAGGCUAAAUACUCCUGACUGACCGAUAGUGAACCAGUACCGUGAGGGAAAGGCGAAAAGAACCCCGGCGAGGGGAGUGAAAAAGAACCUGAAACCGUGUACGUACAAGCAGUGGGAGCACAGAGCAAUCUGUGUGACUGCGUACCUUUUGUAUAAUGGGUCAGCGACUUAUAUUCUGUAGCAAGGUUAACCGAAUAGGGGAGCCGAAGGGAAACCGAGUCUUAACUGGGCGUUAAGUUGCAGGGUAUAGACCCGAAACCCGGUGAUCUAGCCAUGGGCAGGUUGAAGGUUGGGUAACACUAACUGGAGGACCGAACCGACUAAUGUUGAAAAAUUAGCGGAUGACUUGUGGCUGGGGGUGAAAGGCCAAUCAAACCGGGAGAUAGCUGGUUCUCCCCGAAAGCUAUUUAGGUAGCGCCUCGUGAAUUCAUCUCCGGGGGUAGAGCACUGUUUCGGCAAGGGGGUCAUCCCGACUUACCAACCCGAUGCAAACUGCGAAUACCGGAGAAUGUUAUCACGGGAGACACACGGCGGGUGCUAACGUCCGUCGUGAAGAGGGAAACAACCCAGACCGCCAGCUAAGGUCCCAAAGUCAUGGUUAAGUGGGAAACGAUGUGGGAAGGCCCAGACAGCCAGGAUGUUGGCUUAGAAGCAGCCAUCAUUUAAAGAAAGCGUAAUAGCUCACUGGUCGAGUCGGCCUGCGCGGAAGAUGUAACGGGGCUAAACCAUGCACCGAAGCUGCGGCAGCGACGCUUAUGCGUUGUUGGGUAGGGGAGCGUUCUGUAAGCCUGCGAAGGUGUGCUGUGAGGCAUGCUGGAGGUAUCAGAAGUGCGAAUGCUGACAUAAGUAACGAUAAAGCGGGUGAAAAGCCCGCUCGCCGGAAGACCAAGGGUUCCUGUCCAACGUUAAUCGGGGCAGGGUGAGUCGACCCCUAAGGCGAGGCCGAAAGGCGUAGUCGAUGGGAAACAGGUUAAUAUUCCUGUACUUGGUGUUACUGCGAAGGGGGGACGGAGAAGGCUAUGUUGGCCGGGCGACGGUUGUCCCGGUUUAAGCGUGUAGGCUGGUUUUCCAGGCAAAUCCGGAAAAUCAAGGCUGAGGCGUGAUGACGAGGCACUACGGUGCUGAAGCAACAAAUGCCCUGCUUCCAGGAAAAGCCUCUAAGCAUCAGGUAACAUCAAAUCGUACCCCAAACCGACACAGGUGGUCAGGUAGAGAAUACCAAGGCGCUUGAGAGAACUCGGGUGAAGGAACUAGGCAAAAUGGUGCCGUAACUUCGGGAGAAGGCACGCUGAUAUGUAGGUGAAGUCCCUCGCGGAUGGAGCUGAAAUCAGUCGAAGAUACCAGCUGGCUGCAACUGUUUAUUAAAAACACAGCACUGUGCAAACACGAAAGUGGACGUAUACGGUGUGACGCCUGCCCGGUGCCGGAAGGUUAAUUGAUGGGGUCAGCGCAAGCGAAGCUCUUGAUCGAAGCCCCGGUAAACGGCGGCCGUAACUAUAACGGUCCUAAGGUAGCGAAAUUCCUUGUCGGGUAAGUUCCGACCUGCACGAAUGGCGUAAUGAUGGCCAGGCUGUCUCCACCCGAGACUCAGUGAAAUUGAACUCGCUGUGAAGAUGCAGUGUACCCGCGGCAAGACGGAAAGACCCCGUGAACCUUUACUAUAGCUUGACACUGAACAUUGAGCCUUGAUGUGUAGGAUAGGUGGGAGGCUUUGAAGUGUGGACGCCAGUCUGCAUGGAGCCGACCUUGAAAUACCACCCUUUAAUGUUUGAUGUUCUAACGUUGACCCGUAAUCCGGGUUGCGGACAGUGUCUGGUGGGUAGUUUGACUGGGGCGGUCUCCUCCUAAAGAGUAACGGAGGAGCACGAAGGUUGGCUAAUCCUGGUCGGACAUCAGGAGGUUAGUGCAAUGGCAUAAGCCAGCUUGACUGCGAGCGUGACGGCGCGAGCAGGUGCGAAAGCAGGUCAUAGUGAUCCGGUGGUUCUGAAUGGAAGGGCCAUCGCUCAACGGAUAAAAGGUACUCCGGGGAUAACAGGCUGAUACCGCCCAAGAGUUCAUAUCGACGGCGGUGUUUGGCACCUCGAUGUCGGCUCAUCACAUCCUGGGGCUGAAGUAGGUCCCAAGGGUAUGGCUGUUCGCCAUUUAAAGUGGUACGCGAGCUGGGUUUAGAACGUCGUGAGACAGUUCGGUCCCUAUCUGCCGUGGGCGCUGGAGAACUGAGGGGGGCUGCUCCUAGUACGAGAGGACCGGAGUGGACGCAUCACUGGUGUUCGGGUUGUCAUGCCAAUGGCACUGCCCGGUAGCUAAAUGCGGAAGAGAUAAGUGCUGAAAGCAUCUAAGCACGAAACUUGCCCCGAGAUGAGUUCUCCCUGACUCCUUGAGAGUCCUGAAGGAACGUUGAAGACGACGACGUUGAUAGGCCGGAUGUGUAAGCGCAGCGAUGCGUUGAGCUAACCGGUACUAAUGAACCGUGAGGCUUAACCUU
rnacentral:rRNA from 1 species